UCUCUGCUUGAGUUUGUGUCUUCAUGUUUCUGUGUGUUUGGCUUCGGUCCUGCUGGAGAGCGUGAAGCAGACCCACCCGCUCUCUCUCACACACACACACACACACACACGGCCCUCCUCCUCCAGAUACAGGACACUUUUGUUCUGUGUUUUCAUCAGGAGUCCAGUGAAUCGAGAGCGAGAGACAGUGUGACAGAAGAGACGCUUCCACAGACGCUUCAGAGCUCAAGUCAAAGGUCUGUCAUGGGCCGCUGGUCGACACGUCUGGCUCUUCUGAUGCUCCUCAUUGGUCAGAUUUCUGCAGAGACGAGCAGCAGCUCAAACGCCUGUCAGGAUCAGAACGCUCUUCAUGACCGGAUGGAUGCUGUAGAGAAGCGGGUGGAGGACACUCUUCAGAAGCUGGAGGCUGAGCUGGCUCUUCUGCUGGACGCUGUUGAGGCCCCUGAGUGGAGCCCCCUGCUGGACAAACCCCUCAUCGACAUACUGGACGAGCCGCCGGCAACAGACUCAUGAGAACAUAAUGAUCAUCAGAGCAGAUGGUGUGAAUCGGAGCAGAUGGAAGGAGAACAUGUUUAUAUAGAAGCAGGAAACACAAACAUCUUGUUGCUUUGCUGACAUUUUCAACCUCACAUGAUACAGACACACACUUCAGUUUGACUAAUACAUCCACACACAAACACAAUUCCCAUACAGAAAAAAUCUUUUUUUUUCUUGUAUAUAUACACUCACACAUACACACGCUCACACACACUCACACAAACUCACACACACACUCAAUUACACUCACACAUACACACGCUCACACACACUCACACACACACACACACACACACACACACACGCUCACACACACACUCUCUCACACUCACUCACUCACACACACACACACUCACACUCGUUUGGAUUAGAAAUGGCUAUGCAAAUGGUACAAAAGCUUUGGCGUUUUUGCCUACAAGUUGUUCCUGCACACUUGAGAGAGAUUUUAAACAAGACGACGCUUCGUAAAACCUCUCAGUAUCGUAUCGUCUAUAUUUAAACUCGUUAAUGUCAGCACAUCCACAUAAAACUGUGGAAAAUACUGGGCUUUUCACUAUGUACAUGUUUAC
rnacentral:lncRNA from 1 species